GGCUACAAGCACUGUCUUUGGGUUGAGGUCUGAGUACAACUGGCCGGAGGGUGAACCAGGCUGGCCGGGACUGGGAACAGCACUGGAGCUGGCAGAGGGAGUGCCAGAAUGGACAUGAGAUCCCUUCUCCACCGCUGAGGAAGCAACCAAAGGGGACUGCUGUAGGGAAACCUUUUGGAGCUCCGCAGCCAGCUGCUUAGGAUCGACCCCUGGGGACUUCGCCUUGUCUACUGGAUUAAGAUCAUUGUUCAAGAGGACGAUCUGGCUUUUGAAGAAUCACAAAUAAUUGUUUUGCUAUUUAGGAUGUAAGAUUUAUGGAGUCUAAUUCUAAUCUCACUUACCCUGAAGUA